UACAGAGGUCUCAAGCGUUGUUCGGAUUCAUUGGGCGUAAAGGGUGCGUAGGCGGCGCGGUAAGUCGGGUGUGAAAUCUCGGAGCUUAACUCCGAAACUGCAUUCGAUACUGCCGUGCUUGAGGACUGGAGAGGAGACUGGAAUUUACGGUGUAGCGGUGAAAUGCGUAGAUAUCGUAAGGAAGACCAGUGGCGAAGGCGGCUCACUGGCCCGGUACUGACGCUGAGGUGCGAAAGCGUGGGGAGCAAACAG
rnacentral:rRNA from 1 species